rnacentral:lncRNA from 1 species
CUGGCACCUUCCUCAACCCACUGCAGGCCUUGCCCACACAAGAGUCAUCUAUAGAUUUCCAGGCGCAGAGGAUUAAGUGACUCAGACUCCUCAGUUCAUGGUUCCAUCUCAGCACUGGUCUGUGCAAGGCCUCUCUUUAAUUUCGUAAAGACAGAGCUGGCGUGCGGCCUGUGGGCAGAUCGCAGUGCCUCCCACCUCUGAAGCUACGGUUUCUACUUUCUCCACAACAGAAACCCAGAUGUAGGCAGUGGCCAAGAUGGCGGCACUGGUCCAGCGGGCAGCCAUGACACAGCUUCUGGGGCAGAGGCCAAGCAUGGAGGCCUGUUGCUAGGAAACAGAAAUUCCCAGGCCACCUUUCACAUCCAGAGACCCUGACUUGCCCGAGUCUCUGACUUCAGUUACUCUAGCCUGUGGAAGCGGCAGGAGACAAGUAUAUAGAAUGCUGAGCUGGGCCUUCAGGGUCUGUGUUGCCAGAAAACCCCCAAAUCUGGCAAAGGAAAGUAAACAAUUAUUCAUACUCUGUGAUCUCUUUGAUGACAAUAAGAAGUAGUCUGUUGAAAAUGUGCAGGAUCCAGAAGGGAUAUUCUCCCCAUUACCCAACUCAGAGGUUUCCACAAUGGACCACACAACCCGGGGUCUGAGAGAACAAAGCCGGUGGUAGAUCCUUGCAGAGGGCAGAACAGGCUGGUGAGGGCAGACCAACGGGCUAGGGCGCUUGCUCCUCUGUCAGGGCAAGAAUUUCUUGCCAUUCUGGACGUCAGAAUGUAUAUGCCAUGGACUGAUGACCACUUUUUUCCAAUCUCUCCUCUCCAAGUCAGAGUUAUUUUGGAUGGUGUUAGAAUACUCUAUUCAAGUGCUGGGGUUGGUCAAAUUCAUCGUUCAGCCGUAGGUGGCCAGACCAUGAGGACCCAUGUCCCAGACCUAGCAGAAAGGACAGCACAUCUCCCAGAGCGGGAUACUGUGACUCGAUAAACCUUGAGUUGUCUUCGCUGGGGGAGAGAGUAAAGGCAUUUUAUGUGUAUAGGCAAAUGCAUCUUCGUAGCUGUAGUGAGAAAAGAGGGUGCGUAAGGAGAGGGCGUGUGUGGCUAUUGGGCAUCCAAGAAGAGAUAGAUGAUAGCAGUGUCAUCCGACUUGGACCCCUUUA